AUUGAACGCUGGCGGCAGGCCUAACACAUGCAAGUCGGACGGUAGCACAGAGAGCUUGCUCUCGGGUGACGAGUGGCGGACGGGUGAGUAAUGUCUGGGGAUCUGCCCGAUAGAGGGGGAUAACCACUGGAAACGGUGGCUAAUACCGCAUAACGUCGCAAGACCAAAGAGGGGGACCUUCGGGCCUCUCACUAUCGGAUGAACCCAGAUGGGAUUAGCUAGUAGGCGGGGUAAUGGCCCACCUAGGCGACGAUCCCUAGCUGGUCUGAGAGGAUGACCAGCCACACUGGAACUGAGACACGGUCCAGACUCCUACGGGAGGCAGCAGUGGGGAAUAUUGCACAAUGGGCGCAAGCCUGAUGCAGCCAUGCCGCGUGUAUGAAGAAGGCCUUCGGGUUGUAAAGUACUUUCAGCGGGGAGGAAGGCGAUGGGGUUAAUAACCCUGUCGAUUGACGUUACCCGCAGAAGAAGCACCGGCUAACUCCGUGCCAGCCGCCGCGGUAA
rnacentral:rRNA from 1 species